rnacentral:misc_RNA from 1 species
UUUAAAAAAUAUAUAUAUAUAUAUGGUGCCCACCCACCAUCCCAACCAAAUUCAUCAAACCGCCGUCAAACUCCUAAUCUUCAUCAUCAUCGCAAGCAGAAUCAAUGCCUAUGGUAGAAAGGAAACUUUCCUAGUUACAAUAUAUUUUGAAAAUUUUCCACAUGUUGGAGUCCUUAGGAUUUUUGUGAUUCUUUCUCCCAAUUUGGAACGAUUAUUGAUGUUUUCAUUCCGAAGAAGAUUUGGAUUUAUCGUGAGACUUUUAUGGGACACUUAACAGAUUUGUUGAUGGAUUUAAAUGGUCUUUGGAUUGGGUCUUUUAAACUUCGAGCAUUUAAGUCAAGGUAUGCGAGGAGUUACUCUUCAACAAGUAGACGGAGUUCACAGGGGAACGGAACUAAGAGCAAAAAGUCCGUUAUUUCUACAAAAAGUUCUAAGUACAACAAUG